rnacentral:rRNA from 1 species
CAUGUCUUUUUGAUAAUAAUUUAAAGUCUAAUCUGCUCUAUGAUAAUUUUAAAUGGCCGCGGUAUUUUGACCGUGCGAAGGUAGCAUAAUAAUUAGUUUCUUGAUUAGAAUCUAGAAUGAAUGAUUGGACGAGAAAUUUGCUGUCUCAAUUUUAUUUUUUUAAAAUUUUACUUUUAAGUUAAAAGGCUUAAAUGUUGUUGUAAGACGAGAAGACCCUAUAGAGUUUAAUAUAAAAAGUUUUUAUUAUUAUUUGGAAUUUAAUUUAUAUUUACUUAUAUAUUUAAUUGGGGUGAUUAUUAAAUUUAAAAAACUUUAAUUAAUAUUUUACAUUGAUUAAUGAAUUAAUGAUCCAUGGAUUAUGAUUAAAAGAUUAAAUUACCUUAGGGAUAACAGCGUAAUUUUUUUGGAAAGUUCUUAUUUAUAAAAAAGAUUGCGACCUCGAUGUUGGAUUAAAGUUUAAUUUUGGUGCAGAAGCUAGGGUGUUAGGUCUGUUCGACCUUUAAAACUUUACAUGAUCUGAGU